GAUGAAGAACGUAGCGAAAUGCGAUAAGUAAUGUGAAUUGCAGAACUCAGUGAAUCAUCGAAUCUUUGAACGCACAUUGCGCCCGCCAGUAUUCUGGCGGGCAUGCCUGUUCGAGCGUCAUUUCAACCAUCAAGCCCUGCUUGCGUUGGGGUCCUGCGGCUGCCCGCAGGCCCUGAAAACCAGUGGCGGGCUCGCUAGUCACACCGAGCGCAGUAAUACAUCUCGCUUUGGGCGUGCGGCGGGUUCUUGCCGUUAAACACCCCCUUUUUACCAAGGUUGACCUCGGAUCAGGUAGGAAUACCCGCUGAACUUAAGCAUAUCAAUAAGCGGAGGA
rnacentral:misc_RNA from 1 species